rnacentral:tRNA from 1 species
ACUUAUUUAGUAUAACUAGUAUACUUGACUUCCAAUCAAAAGGUUUGAAUCAAUUCAAAAUAAGUA